UUAUUGGAGAGUUUGAUCCUGGCUCAGGACGAACGCUGGCGGCGUGCCUAAUACAUGCAAGUCGAGCGAAUCGGAGGGAGCUUGCUCCCAAAGAUUAGCGGCGGACGGGUGAGUAACACGUGGGCAACCUGCCUGUAAGACUGGG
rnacentral:rRNA from 1 species